GACGAACGCUGGCGGCGUGCUUAACACAUGCAAGUCGAACGGAAAGGCCCUGCUUUUGUGGGGUGCUCGAGUGGCGAACGGGUGAGUAACACGUGAGUAACCUGUCCUUGACUUUGGGAUAACUUCAGGAAACUGGGGCUAAUACCGGAUAGGAGCUCCUGCUGCAUGGUGGGGGUUGGAAAGUUUCGGCGGUUGGGGAUGGACUCGCGGCUUAUCAGCUUGUUGGUGGGGUAGUGGCUUACCAAGGCUUUGACGGGUAGCCGGCCUGAGAGGGUGACCGGCCACAUUGGGACUGAGAUACGGCCCAGACUCCUACGGGAGGCAGCAGUGGGGAAUAUUGCACAAUGGGCGGAAGCCUGAUGCAGCAACGCCGCGUGCGGGAUGACGGCCUUCGGGUUGUAAACCUCUUUCGCCUGUGACGAAGCGUGAGUGACGGUAAUGGGUAAAGAAGCACCGGCUAACUACGUG
rnacentral:rRNA from 1 species